UUACAGACAGGAUACUGGUGCAGCUGGCACCACUUCUUGACACGGGGCACCACCACUUCCUGACCCAGGGCACCACCAUUUCCUGACCCAGGGUACCACCACUUCCUGGCCCAGGGCACCACCACUUCCUGACCCAGGGCACCACCACUUCCUGACCUGGACCUAGAUGUUAAAAUGGACAUUUUGAAGAAGAGCCAUGCCAGUCUCUGUCCAAGAAACCAAAAUUAGAGAAAACUCAAGGUAUGUGACCUGGGAAGAAUUUGAAAAACUGAAAAAUGACUUCUUGAAACUGAAGAAGAAAAUGGAGAAGUAAAAAACCUUAGAACCCAUGCAAGUUUCAAGAAAGGCCAGCCAAACACACCACCGUGAACCAACAACACCAACAACACCUAGAACAUCACAGCAGACAGACUCGACAAGGAUAUCCCAAUCAACACCAACACCACAGCAGACUGAUACAACAAAGACAACAGAACAAACAUCAUCAUCAUCAUCAUCAUCAUUAUCAUCAUCAUCAUCAUCAUCAACAGACAUACAGACAUACAAUGGUCACACAUUGAGUGACUUGAUGGAUAUGGUGUGCCACAAAGAUAAUCUUUAUGCGUGUUGUGCACACCAUAUUACUGGUUCUGUUUCCAGUAAAUUAUAUUGUAUCACACAGUGUGACAGGACAGAGGACAAACAGUCAUUGUGCUGCCAAACCCAAAUUUGAUGGUCGGCUUUACAACAUUUUCCUCGCUGUCUUGGGGUGUAGAGGGGUGUUAUGAGUACAUGUACUUUAAAAAAAAUAAUGCCAUUGAAUUAGAUUUCCAGAGCAAAUAAUGAAGUGAUUUUUAUUGGUAUGUUUUGUCAAAUCUUAUUAUCUAAGAUAUUUUAGAAUUAUACAUGCAUGUCCAUUGUGUAAUUUUAUUGUUUUCAAUCUGUGCUAACAGUUGUAUAUUAUUUUAGAAAGAUCCUUUUUUUCAAGACGCUACUUUUGCUUUUGAUGUUUGCUAUAAUAAUGAAAAAAAUGUACAUGUAUGCAUGUACAUUGUACAUAGUUAAUCAUGUGGCCUUACUGUUCUCCAUAAAGGUACUGUAUUGUUUUUUUUUUAUUAUAAUUGUCAACCAACUCUCAAGUACAUUAGACUUUUUACAACUAUAAGGUUAAACCAGGUCGACCAUGGUUAAUCAUGGUUUGACCAUGGAUAAUUAGACCAUGGUCAAUCGUGGUCAACCAUGGUCACGGUUCGCAGGGGUCAGUCCUUUGUAGUUUGACUUGAAGCAGUUUACAGGUUUAUGAGGAGUUGACUGAAAAAAAUUCCCCCUACACCCAAAAAACAAAGUAUAGUGACCUGGUUACCAUGGUAACCACAAAAUUACAACAUGAUCUAGAUAACGCUCAUCUACAAUGUGUAAAAAACAAAAGAGGUAAACCAUCAUAUUUAUUAUUGCAUACAAUCUCUCAUGUAAGGGACAUAACUCUGGUCUUGUCCUUUAUUAAAUUAUCUCCCUUUGAUUGUUUCACACUGGUCUGUAAGUGUUGUUCAGUUUCAGACAGAGUUGCUACAAUUAAGCCAUUUGCUUUUCAAAGUAGACAAGUUGGCAUACAUAUUCCACAAUGUUGUCUCCUUAUUCUGAAAUGUAUUAAGCUGAUUGUACACAUUAGCAUUUAAGCAUGACUAUGAUGUUACUUAUUUCACUUUUUAAUUUUUGUGCUUUUAAUCUGUUGCCUAAAAAGUACAUGUCAAAUUAAACUAAACUUGGUAUAAAUGUAGUUAGAUCACACAGUGAAAAUCUCAACAACACAGCCUUCAUUUAUAGAAUAUCUUCCAGAAUCUAUGGAACAGUGACUCUGGAAAUUAAGAUUGCUGGGAAUCUAGAAAUUUUUGGUUCUUAAUGUGUUCAUAUCCUGAUCAGUUUCUCAAAAAGUAUCAAUGUUACUUCUACCAAACUGGAAUAUAGUUGUAUUGUUGUAUGAACAUCUUGACACACCCUACAUAAUACAUGAAUUUUGGGGUUAAAAAUGAAAUAUUUAUCUGAAUUUUGAGAAUUUGUGAUUUUGUAAUAUUGUCCAAUAUUUAUUUUGCAAUGCAUCAAUAUUUACUCAUGUCUAUGAUAUGUAGAGAGUGCUUCCAUGCUAUGUGGAAAUGUUUUGGAAAAAGUACUGGAAUUUCAGUGAAUUUUGGAGUUUGCCUAAAACUUGACAUUUUAAUUAGCCUCUGUCUUGACACUGCUAUAAUAAUGUGUAAUUUCUUUUGUCUUUGUUGUUUUGUGAAACAUCACUAUCCGUGUAUUUGAUAUUUUUUUAGUUUGGAACUAUUUCAACUGUUUACACUAUAAGACACAUGAUUUUGGAAUUAUAUGUAAAUAUUCAUACAUUUAUUAAUACCAUUGUUAACAUGUUUUUUUGUUAUUAACAUGUUUUUUGUUAUUAAUCAAAGAGAACACAUUUUUACAGAUUUUAUUAGCCCACCAUCAUCAGAUGGUGGGCUAUUCAAAUCGCCCUGCAUCCGUGGUCCGCCGUCCGUCCAUAAACAAUUCUUGUUAUCGCUAUUUCUCAGAAAGUAAUAAAGGGAUCUUUCUGAAAUUUCA